rnacentral:snRNA from 1 species
CCCCAUCUCUACUAAAAAUACUAAAAAGUAGCCGGGCAUGGUGGCGGGCCCCUGUAGUCCCAGCUACUCGGGAGGCUGAGGCGGGAGAAUGGCGUGAACCUGGGAGGUGGAACUUGCAGUGAGCUGAGAUCGCGCCACUGCACUCCAGCCUGGGCGACAGAG